rnacentral:rRNA from 1 species
GACGAACGCUGGCGGCGUGCCUAAUACAUGCAAGUCGAACGCAGUGGGGACGGGUGAGUAACACGUGGGUAACCUCCCAUCAGAGGGGAUAACACUUGGACACAGGUGCUAAACCGAUACUGAUGGAUGGACCCGCGGUGCAUUAGCUAGUUGGUGAGGUAACGGCUCACCAAGGCCACGAUGCAUCGCCGACCGGAGAGGGGGAUCGGCCACAAGGAGAGUGAGACACGGCCCAUACGCCUACGGCAGGCAGCAGGAGGGAAUCUUCGGCAAUGGACGAAAGUCUGACCGAUGAACGCCGUGUUAGUGACGAAGGUUUUCGGAUCGCAAAACUCGGGUGUGAGAGAAUCGGUAUCUAACCAGAAAGCCACGGCUAAUUACGUGCCAUCCGCCGCGGUAAUAC